CUUAGAAUCACUAGCACACCACAGACAGUAGCAGCAGGGAACAGAGGACUGCCAAGGACCUAUCCAUUCUUUCUAACACCUGUAUGAGGUGAAGAAGCCUGUGAGGGGUGCAGGGCCUGGACUACUGAACCCAUUUUGCAGAAACAGAAGCAGAGGCAAUAUGGGCCACCUUCCUCACUGCUGUGCCUCCUCACCAUGCCCCAGGAUGCUCCCAGGACCCAACAUCAGAUAAGAAGACCCUCCAAUCAUAGAAAAUCCCUCGGCUGUAAUCUCACCAGCCCCCUUCCUGAGAGAGGUGGCCUCUGGCCCAGAGAUGACAGGACAGUGACUUUAGGACUCUCAACCCAAAAGAGCCUGGCAGGACCCUGGAGAAGGCUGACGGUUCUCCACCUGCAGAAAUGGCGGUCGCCCCUCUAGUAGUUAGAAAAGAGAGCCAGGCCUCUCUGCUCCUCACAGCAGACCAGGACCUUUAAAAGUUUCCGGGCCAACCCCAGGCAUUGGGCGAAAUCCGCCCACAUGAAACUUCGGUACCAAGAUGUCACCUUGUCAAAGAGGCGUGUCCGGGCUGCCCUUUCUAAUGCCAUCCCUCCCGCCUCCUGGUUCUCCUUCUGUGUAGCUCAAGCCCAGCUGGAAGGCGUCUGUUUUUAUUUCCUCGUGUGCUGAGUGUCUCCUCUGUCAGAAUGCCAGCUCUGUGAGGGAUGGGCUGUAUUCCUCCUUGGGGCUCAGAAUGGUGCCUGGUACAUGACAGAUCCUCAGUAAAUGUAUUUUGAGUAAAUGGCUGAAAGAAUGAUGCUUCUCACUCUCUGGCACCACCCCACAGGCCUUGAGCAGAAGGGGUCACUGUACCUGCUUGGGCUACACUUCAUGAAAAGCACUGGGCUCAGUGGAAUAAAUUAAAAUCCAGGAAAUUCUGGAGGAUGGGAGAAGGAGGGGCAGCAACAACCUGAAGAUAAAGUUCAACCCCCUCAGAGAUGGGUGGGAAAAAAACCUCACAAUCCACCUUGACCUUGAUCCUUGGCCCAAGAAGCCAGGACUGAGUUUUCUCUAGCCUAAGAUGAACUGGCAAUCAGCCAACUUGAGCUCCUUGCUCUACCUCCUUCUCUAUCUUGU